CUGACGGCGCGAGGCACGGCUGGCUCGGUCCCCCCGCGAAGCAGCGCGGCCCCAAAUCACGCUCGCAGGGUCACGGUGUGAAGAGGUAAGAAAACUAGUAGCAAGGCUGCUGCAGCUGUUUGGUGAGAACAAUCCGAUCUGAAUCCGCUUGGAGCGCGCACGCGGCGGCCAGAAGGACGCGGUGUAAACGCCCUCACGUGCGCCGGGGGGGACGAGCGGCAGCGCAGCCUCCCCCGGCCUCUUCCCCCGUCCCCGAGCCUCUGCCCUCGCCUCCCCACAGCAAGCUGGGGGAGGCCGAGCAGGUUGGUUUUAAUCCCCACCCGCUCCGAAACAGGAGCGUCUUAGCAGCUGGGGGCUUUUUCUUUUACUCUUUUCUUCUUUUUUCUUUUUUUUUUGGCUGCUCGCUGUGAAACCUUCGCUGGUCUGGAGCUCGAAGAGAAGCAGACGCACUGCCGAGCAGAACGCUCCCCGCGAGGAACGGUCCUGCCCGCAGUGU